rnacentral:rRNA from 1 species
CCCUUAGAUGUUCUGGGCUGCACGCGCGCUACACUGUCGGAUUCAGCGAGUCAUAUCCUUAACCGAAAGGUUUGGGUAAUCUUUUGAAAGUCCGACGUGAUGGGGAUUGAUUAUUGCAAUUAUUGAUCAUGAACGAGGAAUUCCUAGUAAGCGCGAGUCAUCAGCUCGCGUUGAUUACGUCCCUGCCCUUUGUACACACCGCCCGUCGCUACUACCGAUUGAAUGGUUUAGUGAGAUCUUCGGAUUGGCGCCUACGCGGCUUCUCUGAGGCCACGCUGGAUGCCGAAAAGUUGCUCAAACUGUAUCAUUUAGAGGAAGUAAAAGUCGUAACA